AUCCAGGUGUGUCGCUGAGUUCCCAGGUGUGUCCCUCACCUGCCCAGGUGUGUCCCAGCCUCACCCAGAUGUGUCCCAGCCCUGCCCAGGUGUGUCCCUCACCUAUCCAGGUGUGUCCCUGAGUUCUCAGGUGUGUCCCUGUCCCAUUUCUCACCCAUCCAGGUGUGCCCCUGCCCCACCCAGGUGUGUCUCUGGGUUCCCAGGUGUGUCCCAGCCCUAUUUCUCACUUGCCCAGGUGUGUCCCUGAGUUCUCAGGUGUGUCCCCGAGUUCCCAGGUGUGUCCCAGCCCCGCCUAGGUGUGUCCCAGCCCUAUCCAGGUGUGUCCCUCACCCACCCAGGUGUGUCCCUGUCCCAUUUCUCACCUGUCCAGGUGUGUCCCUGAAUUCCCAGGUGUGUCCCUGUCCUAUCCAGGUGUGUCCCAGCCCUAUUUCUCAACUGCCCAGGUGUGUCCCUCACCUGUCCAGGUGUAUCCCAGCCCCACCCAGGUGUGUCCCUGUCCCAUUUCUCACCUGUCCAGGUGUGUCCCUGAGUUCUCAGGUGUGUCCUUGUCCCAUUUCUCACCCACCCAGGUGUGUCCCAGCCCUAUUUCUCACCCGCCCAGGUGUGUCCCAGCCCCACCCAGGUGUGUCCCUGUCCUAUCCAGGUGUGUCCCUGAGUUCCCAGGUGUGUCCCAGCCCCACCCAGGUGUGUCCCAGCCCCACCCAGGUGUGUCCCUGUCCCAUUUCUCACCUAUCCAGGUGUGUCCCUCACCUGCCCAGGUGUGUCCCUGAGUUCCCAGGUGUGUCUCUCACCUGUCCAGGUGUAUCCCAGCCCUGCCCAGGUGUGUCCCAGCCCCACCCAGGUGUGUCCCUCACCUGUCCAGGUGUGUCCCUGCCCCACCCAGAUGUGUCCCAGCCCUAUCCAGGUGUGUCCCUGUCCCAUUUCUCACCUGUCCAGGUGUGUCCCAGCCCCGCCCAGGUGUGUCCCUCACCCACCCAGGUGUGUCCCAGCCCCGCCCAGGUGUGUCCCUGCCCCACCCAGGUGUGUCCCUGUCCUAUCCAGGUGUGUCCCUGCCCCACCCAGGUGUGUCCCCGUCCCUUUUCUCAUCUGUCCAUGGCGUAGCCGGUCCGGCAGGUGCAGGUGAAGCCCCCAGGUGUGUCCCUGCCCCACCCAGAUGUGUCCCAGCCCUAUCCAGGUGUGUCCCUGCCCCGCCCAGGUGUGUCCCUGAGUUUCCAGGUGCGUCCCUGUCCCAUUUCUCACCCAC
rnacentral:lncRNA from 1 species